rnacentral:rRNA from 1 species
UACGUAGGGGGCAAGCGUUGUCCGGAUUUAUUGGGCGUAAAGAGCGUGUAGGCGGUUCGGUAGGUCCGUUGUGAAAACUCGAGGCUCAACCUCGAGACGCCGAUGGAAACCAUCGAACUAGAGUCCGGAAGAGGAGAAUGGAAUUCCUGGUGUAGCGGUGAAAUGCGCAGAUAUCAGGAAGAACACCCGUGGCUAAGGCGGUCUC